rnacentral:misc_RNA from 1 species
ACAAAACAGACGACACCAAGACACAAUGAUGAUUUAAUUCAAUGGGAAUCUCUCCGACAAUUUUCAUGGAGGAAAAACUAUAAUAUUGAACCUCUGAUCUUGUGCUUCAUGUGUUUGCUCGCUUUGACCAUCACUAACAUAGGCUCCUGAGUCGGAUAUUUGAUGUUGAUAUUUAUUAAGAAAGAUAUGUGGAACAUGAUUGUACAAGAUGAUUGUAGGUGAGAGGAGCUGGUACUGUUAGUCGUGAACAGAAUGCGGCGGAUGGGAGAGGGUGUUGGGGCAAAAGUUUGGUGGUCAUCGUAGACAGGUUUGGAGGUACCUGUUACCGGUGGUACGCCGAAGGAUGUGAUGUCGCUCAGACGGGACGGACAAACCCCUAGAUCACGGAUCACCUUGGACGAGGACCAGGUGUAAGGGUGCAGUAAAGUUUGAUACGAGUAUUUCGAUAGGUGUUCAUGAGGUUCUCAGCGUUCAAUCUUUAUCGUACGAGUACAGCUACAGUAUAGCUGAGGUUCAAGGACUGGAAUUGGGGAUUCUUUGACUGUCAGAUGGAUGUCUUCACCACUUGCUUAUCAAACAGCCGUAUCUCUGAGGCGAGUCCGUGGCCCUGCGACCUGUCAGCAGAAGGCCAAGGGAGUUUGUCAUUUUCUACAAGUAAUUACACUUGUACUCGUACGGUGUAAGCUGAUUUCUUGAUCCUUCACCACCUUACCACAACGAAGAACAGUCCAGUUUGGGAAUAUCCGAAAAACGGAAACCAUCGUCAAUUUGACAAAGAAGCGUCGACACAGAAGCAGCAUCGGAAAGUCCAAACCAAACUUCCGCUCUGAACGGCUUGGAAUGGCCUGAAUUUCUUCCAUGUUCCUUUCAACUAGCUUCUCAUUUACGUGAGUUAAAGGUUGUAUAAAUUAAGACAUGUUGUUUGAACAAAUG